AGGAGUUGAUGAAUUUUACAUAGAAAAUGAAAUAAACAAAUUAAACGUAGAAGAGUUAGUUCAGCCUGAACAAAACCAUGCUUUAAAAGAAGUUAUAAAAACUGAUCGAAAAAUUAUAAUAAAUUUAGACCAUAAAAUAAGUUCUUUGGAAAAAUCUUGCCAAUUUGGAAAUAAAGUUAUAACUAUACUUAAUAUAAAAGCUGAAGGAUUAAAUAAUGUGGCCAUAAAAGAAAAAUUAAAUUUAAUAACUGAUACACUUAUGGAUAAUUUUUCCACAUGUCAUGGAGAUGACAAUGGCAACUCUCAUACCGACAAUAACAAUGAAUUAAAUAUUACUACAAAUAACAAAAGAAUUAUUGAUUUUUGUAAAAUUUCACAAUAUUUUGAUUUUAAAUGUUUACCAUACUGUACAUUAAAUUAUGAUACUAUUCCUAUGCAUUUUUUUUAUUAAUAAUGAUAAAAAUUUAUUAAUAGAGUCAUGUACUUUUAAUAAAAAAAAAGAUACAAAUAGCAAAACAAAAAGAUUUAAUAAUAUUUAUAAAAAGUUAAAAGAUUAUAAUUAUGAUGAAGAACCUGAAAUAAAAUUAGAAUCAUAUGAACAAUCCAUGAGAUUAAAAGAUAAAUUGUCAGAACUCGAACAAAAUCAAAAAAAAAAUAACGUAAAGUUUUUUCCAUUUAUAGUAGACACUGAACCAACAAACGGAUUUAACGAAACAACGUUCAGAUUAUUUUUAAUUUCAUUACUAGUUUCUAAAGGUUAUGUUGAAUUUUUUAAAGACGAUAAUAAUAUUUUAUGCAUAAAAUCGUCCGAUUAUUAUAAAGAUGUAGAAAAAACACAAGAAUAUGAACAAGAAGGUGAAAACGAACAAGAAGGUGAAAACGAACAAGAAGGGAAACACGAACAAGAAGGGAAACACGAAACUGAUAAAAAUGUAAAACAAAAAAACCAAGCCUUACUCACAUCUUGGUCCUAUAAAAAAUGGAAAAAAUUAGUUAAGCAGAUAA
rnacentral:lncRNA from 1 species